GCGAAUACCGGAGAAUGUUAUCACGGGAGACACACGGCGGGUGCUAACGUCCGUCGUGAAGAGGGAAACAACCCAGACCGCCAGCUAAGGUCCCAAAGUCAUGGUUAAGUGGGAAACGAUGUGGGAAGGCCCAGACAGCCAGGAUGUUGGCUUAGAAGCAGCCAUCAUUUAAAGAAAGCGUAAUAGCUCACUGGUCGAGUCGGCCUGCGCGGAAGAUGUAACGGGGCUAAACCAUGCACCGAAGCUGCGGCAGCGAACGUAUCACCCAAGACAACUUUGCGGAGUUGACGAUUGACGGAGCGAAGCGACGUCAAAGCGUUCAUUAAAGUCGAGUUGGCUUAGGGAUACGUUCGUUGGGUAGGGGAGCGUUCUGUAAGCCUGUGAAGGUAUGCUGUGAGGC
rnacentral:rRNA from 1 species